rnacentral:tRNA from 1 species
GCGGAGGUUGCCAAGCCUGGUCAAAGGCGUAGGGUUCAGGUCCCUAUCAGCCGCAAGCCUCUUGCGGCAGGGGAUGUUCCGUAGGGAUUCGCGAGUUCAAAUCUCGCCCUCCGCACCA